CCUACGGGUGGCAGCAGUGGGGAAUAUUGCACAAUGGGGGAAACCCUGAUGCAGCGACGCCGCGUGAGCGAUGAAGGCUUUCGGUAUGUAAAGCCCUAUCAGCAGGGAAGAAAAUGACGGUACCUGACUAAUAAGCCCCGGCUAACUCCGUGCCAGCAGCCGCGGUAAUACGGAGGGGGCAAGCGUUAUCCGGAUUUACUGGGUGUAAAGGGUGCGUAGACGGUCUAGCAAGCCAGAUGUGAAAUCCCGGGGCUUAACCCCGGGACUGCAUUUGGAACUGUAAGGCUAGAGUGUGGGAGAGGCAGGCGGAAUUCCUAGUGUAGGGGUGAAAUGCGUAGAUAUUAGGAGGAACACCAGUGGCGAAGGCGGCCUGCUUGACCAUGACUGACGUUGAGGCUCGAAAGCGUGGGGAGCAAACAGGAUUAGAUACCCGAGUAGUC
rnacentral:rRNA from 1 species